GAGACAGGUGGUAGUUAUAGAACACUGGAACAGAGAGUGGAGACAGGUGGUAGUUAUAGAACACUGGAACAGAGAGUGGAGACAGGUGGUAGUUAUAGAAUACUGGAACAGAGAGUGGAGACAGGUGGUAGUUAUAGAACACUGGAACAGAGAGUGGAGACAGGUGGUAGUUAUAGAACACUGGAAAAGAGAGUGGAGACAGGUGGUAGUUAUAGAACACUGGAACAGAGAGUGGAGACAGGUGGUAGUUAUAGAACACUAGAACAGAGAGUGGAGACAGGUGGUAGUUAUAGAACACAGGAACAGAGAGUGGAGACAGGUGGUAGUUAUAGAACACUGGAACAGAGAGUGGAGACAGGUGGUAGUUAUGGAACACUGGAACAGAGAGUGGAGACAGGUGGUAGUUAUAGAACACUGGAACAGAGAGUGGAGACAGGUG
rnacentral:lncRNA from 1 species